GGUUAAGCGACUAAGCGUACACGGUGGAUGCCCUGGCAGUCAGAGGCGAUGAAGGACGUGCUAAUCUGCGAUAAGCGUCGGUAAGGUGAUAUGAACCGUUAUAACCGGCGAUUUCCGAAUGGGGAAACCCAGUGUGAUUCGUCACACUAUCAUUAACUGAAUCCAUAGGUUAAUGAGGCGAACCGGGGGAACUGAAACAUCUAAGUACCCCGAGGAAAAGAAAUCAACCGAGAUUCCCCCAGUAGCGGCGAGCGAACGGGGAGGAGCCCAGAGCCUGAAUCAGUGUGUGUGUUAGUGGAAGCGUCUGGAAAGGCGCGCGAUACAGGGUGACAGCCCCGUACACAAAAAUGCACAUGCUGUGAGCUCGAUGAGUAGGGCGGGACACGUGGUAUCCUGUCUGAAUAUGGGGGGACCAUCCUCCAAGGCUAAAUACUCCUGACUGACCGAUAGUGAACCAGUACCGUGAGGGAAAGGCGAAAAGAACCCCGGCGAGGGGAGUGAAAAAGAACCUGAAACCGUGUACGUACAAGCAGUGGGAGCACGCUUAGGCGUGUGACUGCGUACCUUUUGUAUAAUGGGUCAGCGACUUAUAUUCUGUAGCAAGGUUAACCGAAUAGGGGAGCCGAAGGGAAACCGAGUCUUAACUGGGCGUUAAGUUGCAGGGUAUAGACCCGAAACCCGGUGAUCUAGCCAUGGGCAGGUUGAAGGUUGGGUAACACUAACUGGAGGACCGAACCGACUAAUGUUGAAAAAUUAGCGGAUGACUUGUGGCUGGGGGUGAAAGGCCAAUCAAACCGGGAGAUAGCUGGUUCUCCCCGAAAGCUAUUUAGGUAGCGCCUCGUGAACUCAUCUCCGGGGGUAGAGCACUGUUUCGGCAAGGGGGUCAUCCCGACUUACCAACCCGAUGCAAACUGCGAAUACCGGAGAAUGUUAUCACGGGAGACACACGGCGGGUGCUAACGUCCGUCGUGAAGAGGGAAACAACCCAGACCGCCAGCUAAGGUCCCAAAGUCAUGGUUAAGUGGGAAACGAUGUGGGAAGGCCCAGACAGCCAGGAUGUUGGCUUAGAAGCAGCCAUCAUUUAAAGAAAGCGUAAUAGCUCACUGGUCGAGUCGGCCUGCGCGGAAGAUGUAACGGGGCUAAACCAUGCACCGAAGCUGCGGCAGCGACGCUUAUGCGUUGUUGGGUAGGGGAGCGUUCUGUAAGCCUGUGAAGGUGUGCUGUGAGGCAUGCUGGAGGUAUCAGAAGUGCGAAUGCUGACAUAAGUAACGAUAAAGCGGGUGAAAAGCCCGCUCGCCGGAAGACCAAGGGUUCCUGUCCAACGUUAAUCGGGGCAGGGUGAGUCGACCCCUAAGGCGAGGCCGAAAGGCGUAGUCGAUGGGAAACAGGUUAAUAUUCCUGUACUUGGUGUUACUGCGAAGGGGGGACGGAGAAGGCUAUGUUGGCCGGGCGACGGUUGUCCCGGUUUAAGCGUGUAGGCUGGUUUUCCAGGCAAAUCCGGAAAAUCAAGGCUGAGGCGUGAUGACGAGGCACUACGGUGCUGAAGCAACAAAUGCCCUGCUUCCAGGAAAAGCCUCUAAGCAUCAGGUAACAUCAAAUCGUACCCCAAACCGACACAGGUGGUCAGGUAGAGAAUACCAAGGCGCUUGAGAGAACUCGGGUGAAGGAACUAGGCAAAAUGGUGCCGUAACUUCGGGAGAAGGCACGCUGAUAUGUAGGUGAAGUCCCUCGCGGAUGGAGCUGAAAUCAGUCGAAGAUACCAGCUGGCUGCAACUGUUUAUUAAAAACACAGCACUGUGCAAACACGAAAGUGGACGUAUACGGUGUGACGCCUGCCCGGUGCCGGAAGGUUAAUUGAUGGGGUCAGCGCAAGCGAAGCUCUUGAUCGAAGCCCCGGUAAACGGCGGCCGUAACUAUAACGGUCCUAAGGUAGCGAAAUUCCUUGUCGGGUAAGUUCCGACCUGCACGAAUGGCGUAAGAUGGCCAGGCUGUCUCCACCCGAGACUCAGUGAAAUUGAACUCGCUGUGAAGAUGCAGUGUACCCGCGGCAAGACGGAAAGACCCCGUGAACCUUUACUAUAGCUUGACACUGAACAUUGAGCCUUGAUGUGUAGGAUAGGUGGGAGGCUUAGAAGUGUGGACGCCAGUCUGCAUGGAGCCGACCUUGAAAUACCACCCUUUAAUGUUUGAUGUUCUAACGUUGACCCGUAAUCCGGGUUGCGGACAGUGUCUGGUGGGUAGUUUGACUGGGGCGGUCUCCUCCUAAAGAGUAACGGAGGAGCACGAAGGUUGGCUAAUCCUGGUCGGACAUCAGGAGGUUAGUGCAAUGGCAUAAGCCAGCUUGACUGCGAGCGUGACGGCGCGAGCAGGUGCGAAAGCAGGUCAUAGUGAUCCGGUGGUUCUGAAUGGAAGGGCCAUCGCUCAACGGAUAAAAGGUACUCCGGGGAUAACAGGCUGAUACCGCCCAAGAGUUCAUAUCGACGGCGGUGUUUGGCACCUCGAUGUCGGCUCAUCACAUCCUGGGGCUGAAGUAGGUCCCAAGGGUAUGGCUGUUCGCCAUUUAAAGUGGUACGCGAGCUGGGUUUAGAACGUCGUGAGACAGUUCGGUCCCUAUCUGCCGUGGGCGCUGGAGAACUGAGGGGGGCUGCUCCUAGUACGAGAGGACCGGAGUGGACGCAUCACUGGUGUUCGGGUUGUCAUGCCAAUGGCACUGCCCGGUAGCUAAAUGCGGAAGAGAUAAGUGCUGAAAGCAUCUAAGCACGAAACUUGCCCCGAGAUGAGUUCUCCCUGACCCUUUAAGGGUCCUGAAGGAACGUUGAAGACGACGACGUUGAUAGGCCGGGUGUGUAAGCGCAGCGAUGCGUUGAGCUAACCGGUACUAAUGAACCGUGAGGCUUAACCUU
rnacentral:rRNA from 1 species